GAUGAACGCUGGCGGCGUGCCUAAUACAUGCAAGUCGAGCGAACGGACGAGAAGCUUCUUCUCUGAUGUUAGCGGCGGACGGGUGAGUAACACGUGGAUAACCUACCUAUAAGACUGGGAUAACUUCGGGAAACCGUAGCUAAUACCGGAUAAUAUUUUGAACCGCAUGGUUCAAAAGUGAAAGACGGUCUUGCUGUCACUUAUAGAUGGAUCCGCGCUGCAUUAGCUAGUUGGUAAGGUAACGGCUUACCAAGGCAACGAUGCAUAGCCGACCUGAGAGGGUGAUCGGCCACACUGGAACUGAGACACGGUCCAGACUCCUACGGGAGGCAGCAGUAGGGAAUCUUCCGCAAUGGGCGAAAGCCUGACGGAGCAACGCCGCGUGAGUGAUGAAGGUCUUCGGAUCGUAAAACUCUGUUAUUAGGGAAGAACAUAUGUGUAAGUAACUGUGCACAUCUUGACGGUACCUAAUCAGAAAGCCACGGCUAACUACGUG
rnacentral:rRNA from 1 species